GCACAUAUACUAAAAUUGGAACGAUACAGAGAAGAUUAGCAUGGCCCUCUGUGCAAGGAUGACACGCAAAUUCGUGAAGCGUUCCAUAUUUUU
rnacentral:snRNA from 1 species